GAACCUCCGCCACCACACAGGCCCCGAUGUAGACGCUCAGCCUGUGAACUGUGGAUGCUCGGCUGACACAGAGCCAAGCCCACAGUGGAAUACGGUUGCUGCAACAACAACAAGAACAACAAGUUGACUGCAACUGAACUUCAACCUUCAGCUUCCUGUUUACUCCUCAGCUCGUUCCUCAUUGGUUGUUUCCUCUGGCUUUGGUUUAACCCGUCCCACUCUCUGCCUGUCUGUCUGCUCUGUGUGUCUGUGUUCAUUCAUUCACUGUAAAUAAAGUUACAUUACAGAAGAUUGUCCACAGAGGAUGUGCUAAUAAAGUUAACUGUCAAAACCUUGAUCCAAAAUCAUGAACUGAUUAUUGAUCGGAAAUCAGGAACUGAUAAUUCAUCUAAAAUCAUGAACUGAUUAUUGAUCUGAAAUCAUACUGUACUUAAGUACAAUUUUGAGGUAC